rnacentral:rRNA from 1 species
GAUGAACGCUGGCGGCGUGCUUAACACAUGCAAGUCGAACGGAAAGGCCCUGCUUUUGUGGGGUGCUCGAGUGGCGAACGGGUGAGUAACACGUGAGUAAUCUGCCCUUGACUUUGGGAUAAAUUCAGGAAAAUGGGGCUAAUACCGGAUAGGAGCUCCUGCUGAAUGGUGGGGGUUGGAAAGUUUCGGCGGUGGGGGAUGGACUGGCGGCUUAUCAGCUUGUUGGUGGGGUAGUGGCUUACCAAGGCUUGGACAGGUAGCCGGCCUGAGAGGGGGACCGGCCACAUUGGGACGGGGAUGCGGCCCAGACUCCUACGGGAGGCAACGGUGGAGAAUGGUGCACAAUGGGCGGGAGCCUGAUGCAGCGACGCCGCGUGCGGGAUAACGGCCUUCGGGUUGUAAUCCGCUUUCGCCUGUGACGAAGCGUGAGUGACGGUAAUGGGUAAAGAAGCACCGGCUAACUACGUG